UGUAGGGUUGGGAUGCAGGGCUGGGAUAUGGGAUGCAGGAUCCAGGAUCCAGGAGCAGGGACCCAUAGGGAUGUGGGAUACAGGGCAGGUUGGGAUACAGGAUUUUCCCACAGGAUUGGAGGCAGGGGGAGAAGGAAAGGAAAACCCAGGAAUUCCAGAAAUUCAUGGAUUUAACUGGAUGGGGUUUGCAUGGAUCCAGCAGAGCCUGGUUCCUGUCAGGGAGGUUUUUUGGGAAUCAAAUCCCACCAGUUUGGAUCAGACUGGUGUUACCAGGCUGGAAUUCCGGCUGUUCCCCAUCCCCCCGAAAGCCAAUUCCAUGGAAAACCCCCCAAAAUCCCACCCCAGGAUCCUCUUUUGUUUGGGGAAAAAACACCGGGACAAAGUUUUGGAGUCACCCAUCCCUCAAUGCCCGGAAAUCCAAAGGGACAAAACCAACCCGAACCCCGGUGUCCCACUCCAGCUCCUCCAUUUCCCCCCUCACGAGGAGUUUUCCAUGAAAAACUGAAACACCAGGAGUCAAAAAUUCCCAAAUCCAUCGUUGCAGGAUGACCCAAUCCAGGACUUUUUCCCAGCCCAAAGUCUGGCUCUUCCCAUCCAUUUUUCCAUGGAAAAACCGUAACCUCCACAUUCCCAAAAUUCAGCUUUCUCAGCAUUCCCGCUUUCCUUAGCCGAGGGCUUUUUCCAUGGUUGAAAGCUCCCAUUGGAUGGGAGUGACCCAUGGAUGAGGCAAGGGAGGAUUUUAGGGAAGUUGGGAAUUCUUUCCCAAAGAUUUUGCGGCUGCAAUGCCUCCUUGGAAAACAAAACGAAACCGGGAUUUCAAAAAUUCCCACAUUUCCACUCCUUCCCAACGGGAAUUUCAGCCCUGGCUGCACAACCUCCGCCCGGAGCCACGAUCCCGUGGGAGAAGGAUAAACGGGAAUAACCCGGAACGCUGCGAGCCAGAUUUGUGAUCCGAAGGCGAAGCUUCCUUGGCAGCCUCCAGAUUCCGCGGGCAAAUCCCGGGAGCAGCUCCCGGCCCAUCAGGCGGCUCCCAGGACAUCGAGGAGACAGGGAGCGACGGAAACGGGGGGAUCCGUGUCCGGCUCGCUCCGAUUUCUCCCGGCUUUUAAUUCCCUGUGAAUCCAACAGCUGGUGAGAGCUCCCUUGGAAUGCCCCAGGGAAUUCCCGGCCUCGGGAAGGGCGGGAAUGAUGCUCCUGCCUCAUCCGGGCGCAUCCACCGGGGCGAUUAUUCCCAAUGUUUUCAUAAAGAAGGAUUUUCCCGCUGCCCCUUGCAAAGCCGGAUCCCUUCCCUCCCUAAAAAAACCAAUCCCUGUUUUCGGACGGAGCUGGCGCCCUCCCGUCCUUCCCAGAUUCCUGAGGGAUCGAUCCAGCCUGGAAAACCAGGUGCAAACCUGAUUCCUGCAGUCCUUUGGGAGCAGCCGGAAUCCAGGGCAGCGCAUUCCGGGUGACGCCAGGUCCCCGAGCCCGGCCCCUGCUGCCCUCUCAUCCCGGAGAUCUCCGGGAUUUUUUUCCGGAUGUCCAUCCCAAUCCUUCACUUCCCAAGGCCUGUCAGGUCCUCUUUGUGUCCAGCGCCUCGCUCCGCCCACGCUGGAGCUUCCAGGAGCCUGAUCCCGGAUUUUUCCUGGAUAUUUCCAUAGAUUUCGGAGCUCUUGGGAGAUCCGGGAAGACAUCCCCUCUCCCAGGGGACAUCGGAACAGGACGAGGAGUCACCAGCAGGAAUAUCCAUCCCGGGAUGUUCCCGCUCCUUCAAAGCAAAACCUUCUCCCAGGAGCUUUUCCAGCUCCAAAAACCGGAGAGGGAAACAUUCCAGCUGGGAGAGGCGGGGAUGAAGGACGGAGCGAAAAGCGGGAGACGAGCAGCGGAAUUCGAAUGAAAAUUCCUGGAUAUCAAAGGGAAGUAAAACCCCAGCAAAUCCCAAAUCCUCCGGCGUUUGCUUGGAAUGCUGCCAGGAGAAGGAGCUUGGGAAAAGGCCACGGAAGGAGCUGCCCCCUCCGCAUUCCGGCGCCGUUCCCGAGGCCUCGGAGCUCAUCGUUCCCGAUCCGGCUCCGUGGCUGCGCUGGCAGCGGGAGACGAGGAACUGGAAUUAAAUCAGGAUGUGGAAGAGUUCCUGCUCCGUGUCCACGAAGGAGGAAUCGGUGGGAAUUGCCAGGCUGGGAAUGUCAGGGAUGGGGGAAGGCGGCUGUUUUUAGGGCAGGGCGGUAAUUCCAGGGAAAUCCAACAUUUUCCAGCUCAAAAUCCAGCUGGGAGCACCUUCUCCUCGUUAGGAAUCCAACCGGCAUCUUUUUCCCACAGAAAUCCCGGGAAUUUCAGGAAUGGCCCAAACUCCACCUGCAAAUCCCAACCAGAGACUUGGGAAAGGGUGGAAAAUCCACGGAAUACCUGGGAAUGACCUUGGAGACGUUGGCAGACAAAAAAUCACCCGGAAAACAGGGUUGGGUCGGAAUUCCCAGCCCUCUGGAGUAGCUCAAAUCCAUCCAGGAGCAAGGGAUGCGGUGAGCUGGAUGAGAAGCUUUUCCUGCAGCCAACAUUCCAAAGAAUUCCUGGAAUGAGCCACCCCCACCCCGCCCCGGCAAAUCCCAUGGGUGACUCCAGGAAGUCGGUCCAGAUCCGGCCACUCCACGUCCCGAGGGAUCACCUUUCCCAAGGCACAGAGAUGGGAAGGAGCUGAGGAGAUCCCGGAUCUCCCAGGAUUCGAUCCCGGGAAAGAGCCGGGAGCUCCGAAAGGCUGGAAAAGAGGAGAGGAAGAGGCAGAAGGAGCCGUUUUUAGGUGGAAAAUCGGCUGGAAUGUCCGGCCUUGGAGCUUCACCGCAGGAUAGGACUCGCCUCGGAUCCGUUCCAGGAGGAAUUUCUCCAUCCUGGGAAUGUUCGGCUGGCGGGAAGCUCCGGAAUCGUUAUCUCCCCCACGAUUUAAUUAAAGUC